UACGUAGGGUGCGAGCGUUGUCCGGAUUUACUGGGCGUAAAGAGCGCGCAGGCGGCUGGUCAAGUCCGAUGUGAAAUCUCCCGGCUCAACUGGGAAAGGUCAACUGAUACUGUGCGACUAGAGUGCAGAAGGGGCAACUGGAAUUCUCGGUGUAGCGGUGAAAUGCGUAGAUAUCGAGAGGAACACCUGCGGCGAAGGCGGGUUGCUGGGCUGACACUGACGCUGAGGCGCGAAAGCCAGGGGAGCGAACGGG
rnacentral:rRNA from 1 species